rnacentral:tRNA from 1 species
GCCAUCCUAGCUCAGUUGGUAGAGCAACGGUUUUGUAAACCGUCGGUCGUCGGUUCGAGUCCGACGGAUGGCUCCA